UCUCUCUCUCUCUCUCUCUCUCUCUCUCUCUCUCUCUCUCUCUCUCUCUCUCUCUCUCUCUCUCUCUCUCUCUCUCUCUCUCUCUCUCUCUCUCUCUCUCUCUCUCUCUCUCACCCACUCAUAUUCAAGGUCUGUAAAUGCAUCCAAAUUAAAAGGAUACAGUGUCUUUGCAGAGUUCUUUAUUCACAAUUGAUCUGUUGCAAUGCUGCAGUUCAAUGUUGAGUUUAUGUAUAGUUUGACGGUUCAUGUUGAAAAUACUGGAAUGAGUUGUUUAUGAGUUGAGAAUUCACAAACAUUUAUGUUAUCUCUCUUGUCUCACAGUUAGAGUUGUGUAGUUGCAUGAUCUCUGUUGUGUUUGCUUUGUGGGGGAAAUGGUGGAGAUAUCUGUGGUCCAAGGCGGUCAGUCUUUCUCUUGGAGGAGAAAGUAUGUAGCAUAUCAGUUUAGUAGAGACCGCUGUGACAGGAACAUGACUUUGUUUUUAGCUUUAUUGUGAAAUGUGCAUUAGAAGACUGACUCUCUUAAUGGUUUCUGCAGUCCAAGAAAGGCAAAUACAUGACAGAGGAAAGAAUUACUCAAUUUAGAAGAAGUGGUUAAAUCUGUGAUAAGGUUCUUUGGAGCUAGGUGUUAAGCAAGGUUAAUUUUGUUUUCUUUUUAAUUUAACCCACUGGCACCAGUUACAUGCACUGUCCAUUGCAGUUUUGUUUUGUCAGUUUUGAUUGCACACAGAUUCAGGGAGUCUAUUACUAGGCCUACCUGACUUCACCGGACUUUACUCCACUUCCUUAAUUCUUUUGAAAAAAGGUUUCUUAUAAUGUUAUUAUCAUUGUUGAAGUUUUUUUUACUAACGUUAUUAUUGUUAUAAGAUUAUUAACAGUAAUGAUAAUAAUAAAGAUAAAAGUGAGAUCUGGUAUGACUAGUUAUUGACUCCAAAUGAAAGAAAGAAAAAAAUGGACUAAAAUUCCAGUGGACAGGGAAUGUGCAUAUGCACUCAUGGCAUCAACAGGAUAAAUAAAAUUUAUUCUUUUAGUAGUUAAGGAAAAUGUAUGCAUAAUCACCUGUAGAUUAUACAGAACUUGGAGGUUGAAAUUUCAUUGAUUUUAAGUUUUCUCUCUGCAUUUUAGUAAGAAAAAUACUCAAAAGUACUCAUUUUGUGGUUUUUGAUAUGUGACACAUGCUAUGCAAUCAGCAUUCCAGUUUUCGGAAUUGGGCAUUAAUUAAUAUUUAAUAAUUAGAUAUGUAUGAGUUUUCUUUUCUACAAUUGGAGAAACAAGUAAUAUUAAGCCAGUGCUGCUGGGAACAUGUAAGUGUUCUGCAGUCUUGUUUUGUUAAACAUGUUUAUGCCUAGAUUGCUCAACAAAGUGCUCAGUCAGCAAGGAGUCAAUUAGGAGACCUUUUGACCUCUCCUGAUUUCCCCCUAAGGUUUUGGAAUUUUCAUCUCAAAUUCUGUUCAUAGUCAUAUAGUUGUUGUUACUAUUGAUAUCAUGAUUAUAAUGUUAUUAACAAUGCAAUAUGAAAAUAAAAUUUGUAUUUUGGGAAAUCAAGGAAAACCUUAAAAGGAAAGAUAGGUGGUACUACCAACUAACUUCUUGGUAACUAAGUGCUUUUGGGGCAAUCUGUAUGUAAAUACAAUUAAUAAACUAAACUCACAGUGGGGAUGGUAUGCACUUACAUGCCCUUCCUGGCAGCACCGGGAUAAUCAUACAGAUUCUGGAAAACUAGAACAUCUUGUAAACUGACUACAGUAAGUGAAAUAGUCUUGGAAGAAUUGGGAUGAGGAAUAUUUUUUCUUUUCUGGUUUAUUUGAGUCAGUGUCUGUUUUAGAUUUGCAGAUAUUAAUCAGUAGCCCAGAAUGAGGUUUCUUAUGUAUUAGUCUAUGGUAAUGUUAGGAAUUAUAUAUAAGAAUUCAUGUGAAUCAUCUUUGGUAUUAAAUUCUAUAGAAAAUAUAUUUUUUCAAUAUAUUAAUUCUAUUAAGCAUGAACUUUAUGUGCCCCAAGACAUUCCAAAAUCAGAGAUUAAAGGAUUAGAAACCAUAAGUUUAUAUGUUUUCACUAAUCUUUAACAUUGUGACUUUAUUACUUCACCUACAACCCAAACAAGCUGUAUCAAAUCAGUCAGAGGGUAUAGUAUAUCAGAUAUAUGAGGAUCUUGACUGAAGUUCAUAAAUAUUCUAUUGUUUUUUUGGCUACCCUGGUAAGGUGAUGUUUGAAAUGCUAAUAGCCUAACUGUUAGUAUGUAGGUAAUGCAUUUGAUAAAACAGCCACAAUAAAAAAAAAAAAUUACAGUUCAAAUCCAGUCCAUGUUUCUCUAUAGGAAUGCAAAUUUGAUAUUUUGCAUUGUGUCCUGAGGAACCCUAAUUGGAUUUAAAGUGUCACAUAUUACUUUCCUUAUUUUACUGAUGCUGUUUUGUGUACCCAUGCUACUUUGUUUGUUUUUUGUUCACCUGGGUAACAUUUUUUUUUGGUAUAUCUUAAAAAGGUAUUUAUAUAGAGAAAUAAAUGAUAUAUGAAUAUAUAUUUUGAAAAAGUAUCUAUAAGUUGAAAAGUAAAAAAAAUGAUGAAUACAAAUGAAAUGUUCAUAGGUUAACAUGUAUUUGCAUUCAGACAAGAUCCAAGUAGCCGUCACAAAGGUAUGAAAGGCAGUGUGUCAUUUUAUUUACUACCUGUUGCUUGAUUUAUUGUUCUGUUAAUGAGGUAGAUGCUAUAUUUUGUAGAAUGUCUUACACAGAGUUAGAAUGCACACAGAUUUUAUAUUUUAAUAUUCCAUGAGUAUAAGAAACAAGUUAUAGCAGGCAUUACAUGACCCUGAGUUAUAAUCACCCAUCCAAGUGGAGGUACAUAGCAAAACAAAUUCGGUGACCAGAAAAUAUCACAAUAUAUGUACUAGAUUGCAAAAUAAAGAUAUCUGGAAACAGUUCUGUAUUAUGACAGAAUAGUCAUGCAGAGACUAUAUCUGAAGUAAUAGGACUGAACUAUAAUUUACGUAUUCAGAUCACUUUCCCUAUAAUCAAAGCUAUUUUAACCUUGACAUGCAUGUGAUGUGAAUCUCACAUCGCUCAUUUAGGGUGUGCUGUGGUGUUUGUGUAUCUCUGCUCCUACAGUUAUGCUUUUCUCCAACCUGUGUCAUAGUUUUAAUGUGAACAGAAAACCCAUUGCUCUGUUAAGUUGAGUUGGUGAUUAGCAAUUUUUGGAAAGUGAACAUCUACAUGCAAAUUAUUGCUCAACAGCCAGGUUGGAAAAUGGGUCCCAGCAGAUGUUUGGCAAAGAACACAGAAAGUGGUUUGAUAUUGAAUUUGUACGUUUGCUCAUUAAUGAUGAGACAAGAUCUACUCAACUCUUUUGCGUGUGAAAGUGCAGAUCAACAAGGCAUUUUUUAAUCAUCCUAGAGUGUUCCAAUGUAGUGACUUAUGAUUUCAUAAUAGAAUACAAUAUAUCGUAAGAAGAAGCAUGAUCUAUGUGCUGGAAACACAAGUUAUAAUGGCUGCCGUUUUUAUUCUGCUGAGACGUUUAUUUACCUCACUUGUUGCAUCUGAUUUGAUCAUAUAAUCAGAUACACACUAAUUGAUGACAAAAUUAUCACCACUGUUAAACCUUGCAUUACAAUAAAUAUGUUUAUUCGG